rnacentral:rRNA from 1 species
AUUGAACGCUGGCGGCAGGCCUAACACAUGCAAGUCGAACGAGUGGCGGACUGGUGAGUAAUGUCUGGGCAACUGCCUGACGGAGGGGGAUAACUACUGGAAACGUUAGCUAAUACCGCAUACCAUCUGAUGUGCCCAGAUGGGAUUAGCUAGCAGGGGGGGUAACGGCUCACCUAGGCGACGAUCCCUACCUGGUCUGAGAGGGUGACCAGCCACACUGGAACUGAGACACGGUCCAGACUCCUACGGGAGGCAGCAGUGGGGAAUAUUGCACAAUGGGCGCAAGCCUGAUGCAGCCAUGCCGCGUGUAUGAAGAAGGCCUUCGGGUUGUAAAGUACUUUCAGCGGGGAGGCGGUACCCGCAGAAGAAGCACCGGCUAACUCCGUGCCAGCCGCCGCGGUAAUUC